rnacentral:rRNA from 1 species
GACGAACGCUGGCGGCGUGCUUAACACAUGCAAGUCGAACGGAAAGGCCCUGCUUUUGUGGGGUGCUCGAGUGGCGAACGGGUGAGUAACACGUGAGUAACCUGCCCUUUACUUUGGGAUAACUUCAGGAAACUGGGGCUAAUACCGGAUAGGAGCUCCUGCUUCAUGGUGGGGGUUGGAAAGUUUCGGCGGUUGGGGAUGGACUCGCGGCUUAUCAGCUUGUUGGUGGGGUAGUGGCUUACCAAGGCUUUGACGGGUAGCCGGCCUGAGAGGGUGACCGGCCACAUUGGGACUGAGAUACGGCCCAGACUCCUACGGGAGGCAGCAGUGGGGAAUAUUGCACAAUGGGCGGAAGCCUGAUGAAGCAACGCCGCGUGCGGGAUGACGGCCUUCGGGUUGUAAACCGAUUUCGCCUGUGACGAAGCGUGAGUGACGGUAAUGGGUAAAGAAGCACCGGCUAACUACGUG